GACGAACGCUGGCGGCGUGCCUAAUACAUGCGAGUCGAACGCUGAAGGAGGAGCUUGCUUCUCUGGAUGAGUUGCGAACGGGUGAGUAACGCGUAGGUAACCUGCCUGGUAGCGGGGGAUAACUAUUGGAAACGAUAGCUAAUACCGCAUAAGAGUAGAUGUUGCAUGACAUUUGCUUAAAAGGUGCAAUUGCAUCACUACCAGAUGGACCUGCGUUGUAUUAGCUAGUUGGUGAGGUAACGGCUCACCAAGGCGACGAUACAUAGCCGACCUGAGAGGGUGAGCGGCCACACUGGGACUGAGACACGGCCCAGACGCCUACGGGAGGCAGCAGUAGGGAAUCUUCGGCAAUGGACGGAAGUCUGACCGAGCAACGCCGCGUGAGGGAAGAAGGUUGUCGGAUCGUAAAGCUCUGUUGUAAGAGAAGAACGAGUGUGAGAGUGGAAAGUUCACACUGUGACGGUAGCUUACCAGAAAGGGACGGCUAACUACGUG
rnacentral:rRNA from 1 species